CUAUGUGUUGUUGGGUAGGGGAGCGUUCUGUAAGCCUGUGAAGGUGUGCUGUGAGGCAUGCUGGAGGUAUCAGAAGUGCGAAUGCUGACAUAAGUAACGAUAAAGCGGGUGAAAAGCCCGCUCGCCGGAAGACCAAGGGUUCCUGUCCAACGUUAAUCGGGGCAGGGUGAGUCGACCCCUAAGGCGAGGCCGAAAGGCGUAGUCGAUGGGAAACAGGUUAAUAUUCCUGUACUUGGUGUUACUGCGAAGGGGGGACGGAGAAGGCUAUGUUGGCCGGGCGACGGUUGUCCCGGUUUAAGCGUGUAGGCUGGUUUUCCAGGCAAAUCCGGAAAAUCAAGGCUGAGGCGUGAUGACGAGGCACUACGGUGCUGAAGCAACAAAUGCCCUGCUUCCAGGAAAAGCCUCUAAGCAUCAGGUAACAUCAAAUCGUACCCCAAACCGACACAGGUGGUCAGGUAGAGAAUACCAAGGCGCUUGAGAGAACUCGGGUGAAGGAACUAGGCAAAAUGGUGCCGUAACUUCGGGAGAAGGCACGCUGAUAUGUAGGUGAAGUCCCUCGCGGAUGGAGCUGAAAUCAGUCGAAGAUACCAGCUGGCUGCAACUGUUUAUUAAAAACACAGCACUGUGCAAACACGAAAGUGGACGUAUACGGUGUGACGCCUGCCCGGUGCCGGAAGGUUAAUUGAUGGGGUCAGCGCAAGCGAAGCUCUUGAUCGAAGCCCCGGUAAACGGCGGCCGUAACUAUAACGGUCCUAAGGUAGCGAAAUUCCUUGUCGGGUAAGUUCCGACCUGCACGAAUGGCGUAAUGAUGGCCAGGCUGUCUCCACCCGAGACUCAGUGAAAUUGAACUCGCUGUGAAGAUGCAGUGUACCCGCGGCAAGACGGAAAGACCCCGUGAACCUUUACUAUAGCUUGACACUGAACAUUGAGCCUUGAUGUGUAGGAUAGGUGGGAGGCUUUGAAGUGUGGACGCCAGUCUGCAUGGAGCCGACCUUGAAAUACCACCCUUUAAUGUUUGAUGUUCUAACGUUGACCCGUGAUCCGGGUUGCGGACAGUGUCUGGUGGGUAGUUUGACUGGGGCGGUCUCCUCCUAAAGAGUAACGGAGGAGCACGAAGGUUGGCUAAUCCUGGUCGGACAUCAGGAGGUUAGUGCAAUGGCAUAAGCCAGCUUGACUGCGAGCGUGACGGCGCGAGCAGGUGCGAAAGCAGGUCAUAGUGAUCCGGUGGUUCUGAAUGGAAGGGCCAUCGCUCAACGGAUAAAAGGUACUCCGGGGAUAACAGGCUGAUACCGCCCAAGAGUUCAUAUCGACGGCGGUGUUUGGCACCUCGAUGUCGGCUCAUCACAUCCUGGGGCUGAAGUAGGUCCCAAGGGUAUGGCUGUUCGCCAUUUAAAGUGGUACGCGAGCUGGGUUUAGAACGUCGUGAGACAGUUCGGUCCCUAUCUGCCGUGGGCGCUGGAGAACUGAGGGGGGCUGCUCCUAGUACGAGAGGACCGGAGUGGACGCAUCACUGGUGUUCGGGUUGUCAUGCCAAUGGCACUGCCCGGUAGCUAAAUGCGGAAGAGAUAAGUGCUGAAAGCAUCUAAGCACGAAACUUGCC
rnacentral:rRNA from 1 species